rnacentral:rRNA from 1 species
GAUGAACGCUGGCGGCGUGCCUAAUACAUGCAAGUCGAGCGAACAGACGAGGAGCUUGCUCCUCUGACGUUAGCGGCGGACGGGUGAGUAACACGUGGAUAACCUACCUAUAAGACUGGGAUAACUUCGGGAAACCGGAGCUAAUACCGGAUAAUAUAUUGAACCGCAUGGUGCAAUAGUUAAAGACGGUUUUGCUGUCACUUAUAGAUGGAUCCGCGCCGCAUUAGCUAGUUGGUAAGGUAACGGCUUACCAAGGCAACGAUGCGUAGCCGACCUGAGAGGGUGAUCGGCCACACUGGAACUGAGACACGGUCCAGACUCCUACGGGAGGCAGCAGUAGGGAAUCUUCCGCAAUGGGCGAAAGCUUGACGGAGCAACGCCGCGUGAGUGAUGAAGGUCUUCGGAUCGUAAAACUCUGUUAUUAGGAAAGAACAAAUGUGUAAGUAACUAUGCACGUCUUGACGGUACCUAAUCAGAAAGCCACGGCUAACUACGUG